UGGGGGAUAUUGCACAAUGGGCGAAAGCCUGAUGCAGCGACGCCGCGUGGGGGAUGAAGGCCUUCGGGUUGUAAACUUCUUUUGCUCUGAACAAGGCAUGCCUUUGGGGUGUGUUGAGUGUAGGGGUUGAUUAGCGCCGGCUAACUACGUGCCAGCAGCCGCGGUAUACGUAGGGCGCGAGCGUUGUCCGGAAUUAUUGGGCGUAAAGGGCUUGUAGGUGGCUGGUUGCGUCUGUCGUGAAAGCUCAUGGCUUAACUGUGGGUUUGCGGUGGGUACGGGCUGGCUUGAGUGCAGUAGGGGAGGCUGGAAUUCCUGGUGUAGCGGUGGAAUGCGCAGAUAUCAGGAGGAAUACCGGUGGCGAAGGCGGGUCUCUGGGCUGUUACUGACGCUGAGGAGCGAAAGCGUGGGGAGCGAACAGG
rnacentral:rRNA from 1 species